rnacentral:misc_RNA from 1 species
GAUGAAGAACGUAGCGAAAUGCGAUAAGUAAUGUGAAUUGCAGAAUUCAGUGAAUCAUCGAAUCUUUGAACGCACCUUGCGCCCUUUGGCCAUUCCGAAGGGCAUGCCUGUUUGAGUAUCAUGAACACCUCAACUCUUCAUGGUUUUCCGUGAUGAGCUUGGACUUUGGGGGUCUUGCUGGCCUAUGGUCAGCUCCUCUAAAAUAAAUCAGCUUGCCAGUGUUUGGUGGGUAUCACAGGUGUGAUAACUAUCUACGCUUGUGGUUUUCCACCAGGUAACCUUCAGCAGUGGAGGUUCGCUGGAGCUCACAGAUGUGUCUCUCCUCAGUGAGGACAGCUCUUUGAAUGUUUGAUCUCAAAUCAGGUAGGACUGCCCGCUGAACUUAAGCAUAUCAAUAAGCGGAGGA